AAAAAGAAGAAAACUGGGGUUCUGUUGAAUUUCAAGUAUUCAGUUUCACCAAUAAGAUACGGAGACUUGCUUCACAUUUGGAAUUACACAAAAAAGAUUUUUCAUCGGAGAGAGGUCUCCGAAGACUUUUGGGAAAACGUCAACGUUUGCUGGCUUAUUUGGCAAAGAAAAAUAGAGUACGUUAUAAGAAAUUAAUCAGUUAGUUGGAUAUUAGGGAGCGGUAAUUUCAUCGUUCGAAUUUUUUUUCUUAUUUUAUUAGUAGUCUUAUAGUAGUCUUAGAUUUUGCAUUUUGAUGAGCCUCGUUUUGAGGAAUUCAUGGAAUAAUCCAUUUUCAUGGAAUAAUGAAUUAAGGAAGAAAGGAUAUGAGUCUACCGCUUACAAGAAAAGAUCUCAUGAUAGUCAAUAUGGGCCCUCAGCACCCAUCAAUGCAUGGUGUUCUUCGACUGAUCGUUACUCUCGAUGGUGAAGAUGUUAUUGAUUGUGAACCCAUAUUAGGCUAUUUACACAGAGGAAUGGAAAAAAUCGCGGAAAACCGAACUAUUAUACAAUACUUACCUUAUGUAACACGUUGGGAUUAUUUAGCUACUAUGUUUACAGAAGCAAUAACGGUAAAUGCACCAGAAUUCUUGGAGAAUAUUCAAAUACCCCAAAGAGCCAGCUAUAUUAGGGUAAUUAUGUUAGAAUUGAGCCGUAUAGCUUCUCACUUGUUAUGGCUUGGACCUUUUAUGGCAGAUCUCGGUGCGCAGACUCCUUUUUUUUAUAUUUUUAGAGAGAGAGAAUUAAUAUAUGAUCUAUUUGAAGCUGCUACAGGUAUGCGAAUGAUGCAUAAUUACUUUCGCAUCGGAGGAGUUGCUGCCGAUCUGCCUUAUGGAUGGAUCGAUAAAUGUUUAGAUUUCUGUGAUUAUUUUUUACGAGGAGUUAUUGAAUAUCAACAACUUAUUACACAGAAUCCCAUUUUUUUGGAACGAGUUGAGGGAGUUGGUUUUAUUAGCGGAGAAGAAGCUGUAAAUUGGGGCUUAUCGGGCCCCAUGUUACGAGCUUCUGGAAUACAAUGGGAUCUUCGUAAAGUUGAUCUUUACGAGUCUUACAAUCAAUUCGAUUGGAAAGUCCAAUGGCAAAAAGAAGGGGAUUCAUUAGCACGCUAUUUAGUACGAAUCGGUGAAAUGAGGGAAUCAAUCAAAAUUAUUCAACAGGCUGUAGAAAAAAUUCCUGGGGGCCCUUAUGAGAAUUUAGAAGUCCGAUGCUUUAAGAAAGCAAAGAAUUCCGAAUGGAAUGAUUUUGAAUAUCGAUUUCUUGGUAAAAAACCUUCACCCAAUUUUGAAUUGUCAAAACAAGAGCUUUAUGCAAGAGUGGAAGCCCCAAAAGGUGAAUUAGGAAUUUAUCUGGUAGGAGAUGAUAGUCUUUUCCCCUGGAGAUGGAAAAUUCGUCCACCCGGUUUUAUUAAUUUGCAAAUUCUUCCUCAGCUAGUCAAAAAAAUGAAAUUGGCUGAUAUCAUGACGAUAUUAGGUAGUAUAGAUAUCAUUAUGGGAGAAGUUGAUCAUUGAAAUGAUAAUAGACAGGGUACAGGUAGAAGCUAUCAAUUCUUUUUCGAACUUGGAAUUAUUAAAAGAAGUCUAUGGACUGAUAUGGAUUCUACCCAUUUUGACCCUCUUACUGGGAAUCACAAUAGAAGUACUCGUAAUUGUGUGGUUAGAAAGAGAAAUAUCCGCAUCGAUACAACAGCGUAUUGGUCCUGAAUAUGCUGGCCCCCUGGGACUGCUUCAAGCUAUAGCAGAUGGAACUAAGCUACUUUUUAAAGAGGAUAUCUUGCCAUCCCGAGGGGAUAUUCCCUUAUUUAGCAUUGGACCGUCUAUAGCAGUCAUAUCAAUUUUAUUAAGUUUUUUAGUUAUUCCUUUGGGAUAUCGCUUUGUUUUAGCGGAUCUUAGUAUUGGUGUUUUUUUAUGGAUUGCCAUUUCAAGUAUUGCUCCUAUUGGUCUUCUUAUGGCAGGAUAUAGCUCAAAUAAUAAAUAUUCUUUUUCAGGUGGUCUACGAGCUGCCGCUCAAUCUAUUAGUUAUGAAAUCCCAUUAACUUUUUGUGUACUAGCAAUAUCUCUACGUGCGAUUCGUUAAAAUAGGAUCUUUUUCCUCUGAAAUUCAUUGAAUAUUUAUCCUCCUUUUCUUAUUCUAUAUUCAGGUUAGUAAGUUAAACUAGAUAGCUAUAUGAGUGAAACAAAACUGCUUAUUAAUUUGUAGUAAAAAGAAAAAAUCUCAUUUCCUAUGUACAAGAAAAAAUGGAAGUAAACAUAAGCGGUGUAAAUUCUUUACCCCAAGGUUGAGAUUUUUUGAUUAGUCAUCAUAUCUUGAAGCGGGCAAUAAUAAGGGAUUCCCGAUACAGAAAGUUGUAAUCAUAAGGGAAUCCAUCAAAAGUUAGUGAGGGAUUAGAAACACUAAAGUACAUAAAGGAUUAGUAAUGAGGGAAUCUAAAGCAUUAGAUAUUUUUCCUCGUAAAAGGAAUCAUAAUAAGGACUUGAAAUUGGUGGAAAUGAGCAAGUAGUACUUUCUUCGGAUUCCGAUCCAGAGUAUGUUCCCAUUCACUUGUUAAGGAAAUGGCUAUCAAGAACGAAUUAACCCUUUAUUCCUUUUUUCUUUUUAAAUACCCCUCGGGGAAAGAAGAAUAGGACAAAAGAUAUGGAAUGCAAUACAAAAAAAAAGAUCUUUAUUUAUUCUUUCCGUCGUUUAUCCAUAUUCAUACAGAAUUCUUCAUGAACUAAUACCCAACUCUUUUCGUUUAUUAAUUGUUAUAACGAGUGUUUUAUUCCAAGAUUAAGUUAUUGCUGAACAAAGAAAAAGUACCAUUAUAUUAUAAAGGAUGAGAUGAAUUCCGAAGCGUUUUUUAUUAUUCUAGCAGACAGAAUUCCUUUGGUCUAAUUUAGGACGUUGAAAUCGAUUUUAUCUUAGAUAAUUCUAACUACGCCCAAGAAGAUAAUAACGAAAUGAAACAGUACUUUCCUUUUUUCUGAUCAUAGAGGAGCCGUAUGAAACUAAGGUUUCAUGUACGGUUUUGGAAUAGCGGUGGGAACUGUGAUGUUAUCGUCGACUAUGAUUAUCCAACAGUUCAAGUACAGUUGAUAUAGUUGAAGCACAGUCAAAAUAUGGUUUUUUUGGAUGGAAUCUUUGGCGUCAGCCUAUAGGUUUUCUGGUUUUUCUAAUUUCUUCUUUGGCGGAAUGUGAAAGAUUACCCUUUGAUUUACCAGAAGCGGAGGAAGAAUUAGUAGCAGGUUAUCAAACCGAAUAUUCUGGUAUCAAAUAUGGUUUAUUUUAUCUUGUUUCUUACCUAAAUUUAUUAGUUUCCUCUUUAUUUGUAACAGUUCUCUACUUAGGCAGGUGGAAUUUGUCUAUUCCCUAUAUAUCCUUUUUUGGAUUUUUCCAAAUGAAUAAAAUGGUUGGAAUUUUAGAAAUGACAAUGAGUAUCUUUAUUACAUUAACUAAAGCUUAUUUAUUUCUCUUCAUUUCUAUCACAAUAAGAUGGACUUUACCCAGGAUGAGAAUGGAUCAGUUAUUAAAUCUUGGAUGGAAAUUUCUUUUACCUAUUUCCCUGGGCAAUCUCUUAUUAACAACUUCUUCCCAACUUGUUUCACUAUAAAAUAAGAUAAUACAAUAACAGUAAGAAUAUUUUCAACACAAAAGUCCUCUCAAACAAGAGAAAGAAACAUACCUUUUUCAUAGAUAUUUCGAAUAUGUUCCCUAUGGUAACUGGGUUCAUGAGUUAUGGUCAACAAACAAUACGCGCAGCAAGGUACAUUGGUCAAAGUUUCAUAAUUACCUUAUCCCACACAAAUCGUUUACCUAUAACGAUUCACUACCCCUAUGAAAAAUCAAUUACAUCGGAGCGUUUCCGGGGGCGAAUCCACUUUGAAUUUGAUAAAUGUAUUGCUUGUGAAGUAUGUGUUUGCGUAUGCCCUAUAGAUCUACCUCUUGUGGAUUGGAGAUUUGAAAAGGAUAUUAAAAGGAAACAAUUGCUUAAUUAUAGUAUUGAUUUCGGAGUUUGUAUAUUUUGUGGUAAUUGUGUUGAGUACUGUCCGACAAACUGUUUAUCAAUGACUGAAGAAUAUGAACUUUCUACUUAUGAUCGUCAUGAAUUGAAUUACAAUCAAAUUGCUUUGAGUCGGUUACCAAUCUCCAUAAUGGGAGAUUACACAAUUCAAACAAUUAGGAAUUCAACUCAAAGUAAAAUAGACGAAGAAAAAUCUUGGAAUUCAAGAACGAUUACUGAUUACUAGAAUUUUUUUGUUAGAAUCCAAAAGUUCUUUACUAACUAGAAAGAAAAACGAAUACCUACUGCUUAUUGCAAAUUAUUCCUGAUUUUAAACCAGAGUAGAUUUUCGUGAUGUGAUUUCUAACUAUAGAAAGAACUUAUAUACAAUAUACAAAAAAAUUUCCUAAUCCCUUUUUUCUUCCUUGAAUCUUUUAGUUUUAGUCAGUUCAUGAAAAAAUUUAUACUAUUAAUUUCUUCUUAUCCAUAAUGGAUUUACCUGGGCCAAUACAUGAAAUUCUUGUGCUAUUUGGGGGAUUUGUUCUUCUACUAGGGGGUCUAGGGGUGGUAUUACUUACCAACCCAACUUUUUCGGCUUUUUCGCUAGGAUUAGUUCUUGUUUGUAUAUCCUUAUUCUAUAUUUUAUUGAAUUCCUACUUUGUAGCUGUGGCACAACUUCUUAUUUAUGUGGGAGCUAUAAAUGUCUUGAUCAUAUUUGCCGUAAUGUUCGUAAAUGGCUCAGAAUGGUCUAAAGAUAAGAAUUUUUGGACUAUUGGAGAUGGGUUCACUUCACUCGUUUGUAUAACUAUUCCUUUUUCACUAAUGACUACUAUCCCAGAUACGUCAUGGUAUGGAAUUCUUUGGACUACAAGAUCAAACCAAAUAGUAGAACAGGGUCUCAUAAAUAACGUUCAACAAAUUGGGAUUCAUUUAGCAACCGAUUUUUAUCUUCCAUUUGAACUCAUUUCCAUAAUUCUUCUAGUUUCUUUAAUAGGUGCAAUUACUAUGGCUCGGCAAUAAGAAAUACUUAGAAUGAGUCAAAAUUAUAAGAAUUUCAAAUCUAAAAUAAAUCACUAAAGAACCACAAUUUUGAUUUAGUAAAACCCAUCUACUGCCAACAAAUACCUUCUUUUCUCUUUUGUUGUGUAAUUGUUCUAUUCUAAUUAAUUCAAUCGGUUCAAUUCUUGUCCCCAUAUUGAAAUGAAUCGAGAUUGAUAAGGAGUUAGUUAAUGAUGUUUGAGCAUGUACUUUUUUUGAGUGUCUAUUUAUUUUCGAUUGGUAUCUAUGGAUUGAUCACAAGCCGAAACAUGGUUAGAGCUCUAAUAUGCCUUGAACUUAUACUGAAUUCAAUUAAUCUAAAUCUCGUAACAUUUUCUGAUCUAUUUGAUAGCCGCCAAUUAAAAGGAGACAUUUUCGCAAUUUUUGUUAUAGCCCUUGCGGCUGCUGAAGCAGCUAUUGGAUUAUCCAUUCUUUCUUCCAUCCAUCGUAAUAGGAAAUCAACUCGUAUCAAUCAAUCUAAUUUUUUGAAUAAUUAGACAUAGAAUCUUCUAAACAAAGGGACACAUAUAAUAAUAAUAUGAAAUAUUAACAUGAAUACUAUUUAUUAUUUGAGAAUAUCUAUUUUUUGAGUAGGUUAUUCCAUAGUAUUCUUUUUUACUUAGUUGAAUUUUUGCAAUUCAUUGAUAUUGCAAUUUGAAUAUUGCAAUAAUUUAUAUUGAAAAGACGAUAGCCAAUUUAUUGGCUAAUUCGAAUUCGUAUAUACAAUUCGUAUAAUUAUGAUUGUUGAAGCCCAAAAUUAAAGUCUCUUGGCUCUUUUCAUGCUUUCUCACAAACGGAUUAAGAAAUAUAUUGCAUUAUUUGUUGAAGUUUGGAUAAACCAUUGCUUCGUCUGGUGUCUACAAUACAUUUGAUUGAUAUAGUACUAAUUUCAUUUUGACCAGAUCGAAAAUUUUUAUGUUGAAAAGGAAAAUUUAUAGAUCCAAUGUCACAUUCCGUAAAAAUUUAUGAUACAUGUAUAGGAUGCACUCAAUGUGUACGAGCUUGUCCAACAGAUGUAUUAGAAAUGAUACCUUGGGAUGGAUGUAAAGCCAAGCAAAUUGCUUCCGCGCCAAGAACCGAAGAUUGUGUGGGUUGUAAGAGAUGCGAAUCCGCCUGCCCAACAGAUUUUUUAAGUGUCCGCGUUUAUUUAGGACCUGAGACAACCCGCAGCAUGGCUCUAUCUUAUUGAUACGUUACAAAAAAUUCCACUUGAAUCGUCUGAUUCCUCUUUAUCGAAGAAGCCUGUGCUCAAAAUAAUCGAGCACGGGCUUUUCUGGUCAAAACGUAUCUUGUCUUUAUCACUUUAUCAUGAGUUCUUUUACUUGGUUAACAAUACUUGUUGUUUUGCCGAUAUUUGCGGGUUCAUUAAUUUUCUUUUUACCUCAUAGGGGAAACAAAAUCGUUAGGUGGUAUACUAUGUCUAUUUGUUUAUUAGAAUUCCUUCUAAUGACUUAUGCAUUCUGUUAUCAUUUCCAAUUGGAGGAUCCCUUAAUCCAAUUAAAAGAGGAUUCUAAAUGGAUAGAUGUCUUCAAUUUCCACUGGAGAUUGGGAAUCGAUGGACUUUCAUUAGGAUCUAUUUUAUUGACAGGAUUUAUGACUACUUUAGCUACUUUAGCAGCUUGGCCGGUUACCCGGAAUUCCCGAUUAUUCUAUUUCCUGAUGCUAGCAAUGUAUAGCGGUCAAAUAGGAUUAUUUUCUUCGCGAGACCUUUUACUUUUUUUUACCAUGUGGGAGUUAGAAUUAAUUCCUGUUUACUUACUUUUAUCCAUGUGGGGGGGGGGGGAAGAGGCGUCUCUAUUCAGCUACAAAGUUUAUUUUGUAUACUGCAGGUGGUUCCAUUUUUUUCUUAAUCGGAGUUCUAGGUAUGGGCUUAUACGGUUCCAACGAACCAAGAUUAGAUUUGGAAAGAUUAAUUAAUCAAUCAUACCCUGCAACAUUGGAAAUACUAUUUUAUUUUGGCUUCCUUAUUGCUUAUGCUGUCAAAUUGCCGAUUAUACCCCUACAUACGUGGUUACCAGAUACCCAUGGGGAAGCGCAUUACAGUACAUGUAUGCUUUUAGCGGGAAUCCUAUUAAAGAUGGGAGCAUACGGAUUGAUUCGGAUCAAUAUGGAAUUGUUACCUCAUGCUCAUUAUCUAUUUUCCCCUUGGUUAGUAAUAAUAGGAGCGAUGCAAAUAAUCUAUGCAGCUUCAACUUCUCUUGGCCAACGCAAUUUCAAAAAAAGAAUAGCCUACUCCUCCGUCUCUCACAUGGGUUUCAUUAUUAUAGGAAUUGGUUCCAUAACCAACAUUGGACUCAAUGGAGCUAUUUUACAAAUAUUAUCCCAUGGAUUUAUUGGGGCUACACUUUUUUUCUUAGCGGGAACGGCUUGUGAUAGAAUGCGCCUUGUUUAUCUCGAAGAACUGGGAGGGGUUUCUAUCCCAAUGCCAAAAAUUUUUACCAUGUUUAGUAGCUUUUCAAUGGCUUCUCUUGCCUUACCAGGAAUGAGUGGUUUUGUUGCGGAAUUAGUAGUAUUUUUUGGACUAAUUACUAGUCCAAAAUUUCUGUUAAUGCCAAAAAUGCUAAUUACUUUUGUAAUGGCAAUUGGAAUGAUAUUAACUCCUAUUUAUUUAUUAUCUAUGUUACGACAGAUGUUCUAUGGAUACAAGCUAUUUCAUGUUCCAAACGAAAAUUUUGAGGAUUCCGGCCCGCGAGAACUCUUUCUUUUAAUCUGUAUCUUUUUACCAGUAAUAGGAAUCGGUAUUUAUCCAGAUUUUGUUCUCUCGCUAUCCGUUGACAGGGUAGAGGCUCUGUUAUCCAAUUAUUAUCCUAAAUAGGAUUUUUUUUCUUCUACUAGUCCGCUCUAUAUUCCAUAGUGGAAAUACUAAAAAAUUCAGAAAAAAGUAAAAGAGUCUAAUUAGAUCUAUCUCGAAUUUUUGAGAACCCUUUGAGAAGGCGUUCAAGGGGUUCUCAAAUCAAACACAAAAAUGGAAGUUUUUUCCAUUUCAUUAAGGUUUUAUGUUAUGUAAUCAUUUAGAUGGGUAAUGUAAAUGAACCAUAACUAUGUAAACCUAUUCCUAAUAGAUUGAUACCAAAAUAACAGAUCCAAAUUAUAAGAAAUCCUAUGGAAGCUACAAAUGCUGACUUCGUACCCUUCCAAUUUGGAUUUGUUCUACUAUGUAAAUAAAUUGCAAAUAUGGUCCAAGUAAUAAAUGCCCAAGUUUCUUUAGGAUCCCAAUUCCAGUAGGAUCCCCACGCCUCAUUAGCCCAUACUGCUCCACAAAGAAUACCUAUGGUUAAAAGGGUAAACCCUAGACUAAUGACACGAUAACUCCAAAAAUCCAAACGCUCAAUUAAUUGAUAUUUGUAAUAAUUUGGAAAUAAAGGAAAAAAGGUGCUUUUUAAAGCACUUCUUUUUGCAUAGAAAUAUUCAAUCUCAUUAAAGAAAAAUGUUUUAAGCAAAACAUUUUUCUUCUUUUUCGAAAAGAAAUCUAAAUUCUUUCGAAAUCUAAUCAUUAGAAGAGCGGCGGAUAAUAAGGAUCCGCACAAAAGAGUCGCAUAGCUUAGUAACAUCAUACUGACAUGCAUCAUUAACCACUGAGAUUGUAGAGCAGGUACUAGUAUUGUGGAUUGAUGCAUUUAAGUUAAAAGACCCGACGUGGCAAAGCCUUGCGUUAAAAUAGUACUCGGCGUAGUUAUUGUGCUUAAAUCAUUUUUAGAGUUCUGUAUCUUAGGAAUCAUAUGAAGAAUAUACAGAGCCCAUGAAAGGAAGAUCAAUGACUCAUAUAAAUUACUUAAUGGAAAAUGUCCCGAAGAAGCCCAACGAGAAACUAAGAAUCCUGUUAUACAGAAAAAAGUGGCUAUCAUUCCUUUUUCUGACGAAUCACGCAAUCCCCCAAGUUCACGAACUAAUAAGGUUAUUAAAUGAAUCGUAAUCACAAUUGAAAUUGUUGAGAAAGAAAUAUGAGUUAGUAUAUGUUCUAAAGUUGCAAAUAGCAUAAGGAGAAGGUCCUAUUACAAAAUUGGAAAUUUCGAAUUGAAUCCAUUUUAUUUUAUAAUCUAUUGUAUUCUUUUUCGAGACUGCCGCCACUCGGACUCGAACCGAGAUGCUUGAGCACUGCUUCCUAAGAGCAGCGUGUCUACCAAUUUCACCAUGGCGGCUAAGUUGAAAUAACAGGUUUAUUAAAAGAAUAUUAAGUUAUUUUCUCGCGAAUCGUCGAGAUUGGAAGAUUCCAUAGAAUUUAGGACAUUAGAAUCUUCAUUAAAAUAGACUUCGUUUGGUAGUAUCGUUGCGAAUUUUUUAACAAAAAAAUUCUUGCUUUGCCCAAUAGAAACUUUGAAAGAGUUGGAACAAUUUUUUCUCAGUUGCAAUAUAGAACUAAUUUUUUUGUUAAUUUAGGAUAAAAUAGGUAGAAGUUGUAAGUCUUAUUGCAAGAAUACUCUACUUUUCAUAAUAGAAUCCCCUUUUUUUAUUUAUUAUACGGAUUCUAUUACGAAAAGUUCAUUGAUAGGAAAAGAAUAUUUAGGUCACAGUAUACCAAAAACCCUUUUUUUAUAUAUCAGAGAGGUUUGUUCUAAGAAUAUUGUACCGAGGAAUUCGACACAUAAAAGUAAACUCAUUAAUUAAUCCUAAUUAUUCCUAAUUAUUCAUAUUAAAUAAUUGGAAUUUUUUGGGGAUAGGUCAAUUCAUAUUAUCCCAAAACCCUAUUAUUUGUUUGUUUGUUGUCGAGAAAAACCCUUUGGUUUUGGAUGCUCGCUGACGCCAGAAAAUGAUCUUGAUUUUGCUAAAGAAUAAGAUUGUACUAUGGAAAAAUAAGUCUUUUUCUUCCAAAGAUUUUUACGAAUACGCUUUUUUGACAUCGAAGUACGUUUUUUUGGAACUGCCAUUCAAAAAGGAAAUUACUUUUUUCUAGUUGUAUGUGAAAGACAUCUAUUGCCGCAAAUCAAUCCAUUUUUCUUCUUUUUCUUAGUAUUUAUACUUAGAUACUAAAAGAUAUUGAAAUUCUGAAUUCUUUUUUACUUCAUUUUGUCUAAUGCGGAUAAGACAAGAGUUUUUUAACAUAUUAUAUAUUUUUUUUAGACUUUGUUUUAAUAAUAUAGAAUAUAUACAAAGGUUUUCUAUUUAAAUCAAUUUAUAUUUCAAGUAUACUCUCCAUAUACAGAUAUAAGGUAUGGGGGCCUAUCCCCCAUAUAAGACGGGAGGAUAAAAGGAAGGGAAAAUUCAAUCAAAUAGUUAAUUAAAGUAUUCCAGAAUUGAAUUCCAAUCAAUUUGAGUUACGAAACAAGGGAGCUGCUUCAUUUUAAUACAAAAAAAUAUUAAAGUAAAAUGAUUCAAUCUUUUUUUUUGUAUUUUAAUAAAAGUCCUUCUUUAGGUAAUAACUAGGUAACGAAGUUAUUUCAUUAACUUUUUGACUUUAACCAACAAAACCUAUUCUUAUUUUUUGAUUGUUUCAAUGAGAAAAUUUUUGAAAAAUUAAGAAUUCUAGUUUUUUUUUUAUUCCUUCAGAAAUAGAUAAGAAUUAGUUUGGUGAAUCGGAAACUUUUUUCAAUUUUAUAGAAAAAUUGAAGUAAAAUUUUCAAGUAAAAAUUGCAAUUUCUUUUCUUAUGGAACAUACAUAUCAAUAUGCAUGGGUAAUACCUCUUCUCCCACUUCCAGUUAUUAUGUCAAUGGGGUUUGGACUUUUUCUUGUUCCAACAGCAACAAAAAAUCUUCGUCGCAUAUGGGCUUUUCCUAGUGUUUUACUUUUAAGUAUAGCUAUGGUAUUCUCAGUUCACCUGUCUAUUCAACAAAUAAAUGGAAGUUCUAUCUAUCAAUAUCUAUGGUCUUGGACCGUCAAUAAUGAUUUUUCCUUAGAAUUUGGAUACUUAAUCGACCCGCUUACUUCUAUUAUGUUAAUACUAAUUACUACUGUAGGAAUCCUGGUUCUUAUUUAUAGUGAUGAUUAUAUGUCUCACGAUGAGGGAUAUUUGAGAUUUUUUGUUUAUAUAAGUUUUUUCAAUACUUCCAUGUUGGGAUUGGUUACUAGUUCCAAUUUGAUACAAAUUUAUUUUUUUUGGGAGCUUGUGGGAAUGUGUUCCUAUUUAUUGAUAGGCUUUUGGUUUACACGGCCAAUUGCAGCGAGUGCUUGUCAAAAAGCUUUUGUAACUAAUCGUGUAGGGGAUUUUGGUCUGUUAUUAGGAAUUCUAGGUUUUUUUUGGAUAACAGGUAGUUUAGAGUUUCGGGAUUUGUUUAAAAUAGCUAAUAACUGGAUUCCUAAUAAUGAGAUUAACUCCUUGCUUACUAUUUUGUGUGCUUUUUUAUUAUUCCUUGGUGCAGUUGCGAAAUCGGCACAAUUCCCUCUUCACGUAUGGUUACCCGAUGCUAUGGAAGGACCCACCCCCAUUUCAGCUCUUAUACACGCAGCAACUAUGGUUGCUGCGGGGAUUUUUCUUAUAGCUCGACUUCUUCCUCUUUUCAUAUCCCUACCUUUGAUAAUGAGUUUCAUUUCUUUAAUAGGUACACUAACACUUUUCUUAGGAGCCACUUUAGCUCUUGCUCAGAGAGAUAUUAAAAGAAGCUUAGCCUAUUCUACAAUGUCUCAAUUGGGUUAUAUGAUGUUAGCUCUAGGUAUAGGUUCUUAUCAAGCUGCUUUAUUCCAUUUGAUCACUCAUGCUUAUUCGAAAGCUUUAUUAUUCUUGGGAUCCGGAUCUGUUAUUCAUUCAAUGGAACCUCUUGUUGGAUAUUCACCAGAUAAAAGUCAGAAUAUGGUUCUUAUGGGUGGUUUAAGAAAAUACAUUCCAAUUACAAGAACUUGUUUUUUAUGGGGUACCCUUUCUCUUUGUGGUAUUCCACCUCUUGCUUGCUUCUGGUCCAAAGAUGAAAUCCUUAGUAAUAGUUGGUUAUAUUCACCCUUUUUUGGAAUAAUAGCUUCUUUUACUGCAGGAUUAACUGCGUUUUAUAUGUUUCGGAUAUAUUUACUUACUUUUGAUGGGUAUUUGCGUGUUCAUUUUCAAAAUUACAGUAGUACUAAAGAGGAUUCGUUGUAUUCAAUAUCGUUAUGGGGAAAAAGGAUAUCUAAAGGAGUCAAUAGAGAUUUCGUUUUAUCAACAGCGAAGAGUGGAGUUUCUUUUUUUUCACAAAAUCUAUCCAAAAUUCAUGUUAAUACAGGAAAUAGGAUAGGGUCCUUUAGUACUUCAUUGGGGACUAAAAACACUUUUGUCUAUCCUCAUGAACCGGGAAAUACUAUGCUAUUUCCUCUUCUUAUAUUACUGCUUUGUACUUUGUUUAUUGGAUCUAUAGGAAUCCAUUUUGAUAAUGAAAUAGGGGAAUUAACCAUAUUAUCAAAGUGGCUAACUCCCUCAAUCAACUUUUUCCAAGAAAGUUCUAAUUCUUCCAUAAAUUCAUAUGAAUUUAUCACUAAUGCAAUUUCUUCUGUAAGUCUAGCUAUUUUUGGUCUAUUCAUAGCAUAUAUGUUUUAUGGAUCUGCUUACUCUUUUUUUCAGAAUUUGGAUUUAAUAAAUUCCUUUGUAAAAGGGGGUCCGAAAAAGUAUUUUUUCCAUCAACUAAAAAAAAAGAUAUAUAGUUGGUCAUAUAAUCGCGGUUAUAUAGAUAUUUUCUAUACUAGGAUCUUUACCUUGGGUAUAAGAGGAUUAACCGAACUAACGCAGUUUUUCGACAAGGGUGUCAUUGAUGGAAUUACCAAUGGAGUAGGUCUUGCUAGUUUUUGUAUAGGAGAAGAAAUUAAAUAUGUAGGGGGAGGUCGAAUUUCGUCUUAUUUAUUCUUUUUUUUAUGUUAUGUAUCUGUGUUCUUAUUCUUUUUUCUUUCUUAAGGAAUUCCCCUAUCUCCUGCCUAAGUAGCUUUCCUAUUUGCCGAUUUUUUCCAUUCCUCUGUGUAAAUAGCCUAAUAUGGGUUCACAAUCAAUAACAUCUUCACCAUCGAGAGUAACGAUCAGUCGAAGAACACCAUGCAUUGAUGGGUGCUGAGCCGAACCGUGCUUAUCUCUGGUUCUGGUUUUUUCCGGUCGAACCACCGGUUCGGUCCGGUUUUUUCUACUAUGCUCAGAACUCAUGGUGAUGUCUUUCUAGACAUCUUGUGUAAAAACCAGAGCUCUGUAUGUGGUAGUAGUACACCAGUAAGUGUUUGCCUUAGUGUUUGUGUAGCAAGAUAGGCUCCUGCACUUUCUUUUCGUUGAAGUAAUGCAGUACUGCUGUGGUGCUUGUGGUUUGUACUACUUUUUAUCAUCUUUAAAUUGGUGCAUGUUAAGAAUGAUGAUAAGACUAAAAUAAGAAGAGAAAAGCAUAAUGAGGAUAAUAUAACUAAAUAGUUUUAUUUUAAUAUUACCUACAUUGAUUAUUUUAUAGUAAAUCUGAUUCUUUCUUACCAUUUUGAGAUUCAUCCAAUGAUCAUUUAUGUAUUCUGGCUAAUGAGUUGAAUAUGAUAGAUGGAGCAAAACAACAACAACAACAAUGGUACUAGUCAGGAUGGAAAUAAUACUAGUCAUGGUGCCACUGGAUUAAUAAUACCUAGUGCAAGUAAUCAAGACCCUUGGGCUAACUUACUCGCAAAUAUACUGGGCAAGCAACAGGAAACCCAGCAACGACAGAUGGAAAUUUUAGAACGUAUUACUAAAAGUGAUGCUAACCGGAAUGGACUUGGGGAAUUUCAGAAAUUAAAGCCACCAACAUUUUCAGGAACUGCCAAUCCACUCGAAGCGGAAGAAUGGAUUGUAGCCAUGGAAAAGUCAUUUGAAGCUAUGGGUUGUACAGAUAAAGAAAAGAUUAUAUAUGCUACCUAUAUGCUUCAGUCUAGUGCUUUUGAAUGGUGGGAUGCUCACAAAAAGUCAUAUUCCGAACGUAUCUUUAUUACAUGGGAAUUAUUCAAGGAAGCUUUUUACAAGAAAUAUUUUCCAGAAAGUGUUAAGAGAAUGAAGGAGAAGGAAUUUCUAGAGCUUAAGCAAGGUAAUAAAUCCGUAGCAGAAUAUGAAAUAGAAUUUUCGAGACUGGCAAGAUUUGCUCCUGAAUUUGUACAGACGGAUGGCUCUAAAGCUCGACGAUUUGAAAGUGGAUUACGUCAACCGCUCAAAAGGCGCGUCGAAGCCUUUGAAUUAACCAUAUUCAGGGAGGUAGUAAGUAAAGCACAACUUCUUGAGAAGGGGUAUCAUGAACAAAGAAUAGAACACGGACAACCUCAAAAGAAGUUUAAGACUAAUAAUCCACAAAAUCAGGGAAGAUUCCGUGGAAACUACUCUGGACAAAUGCAGAGAAAAUCUUCAGAAAAUCAAGGCAGAAAAUGUCCCAUAUGCCAAGGUAGCCAUGUUCCAUCAAUUUGUCCUAAUUGCUGGGGAAGGUGCUUUGAGUGUGGAGAAGCAGGACAUACUAGGUACCAAUGUCCACUGUUACAGAAGGGUAAAAAUCGAGUUAGUUCAACUACUCAGCCAAAUACUAAAGUAUUGACUCCAGUACCCUCGCUUUAUUUACCUGGACCGUCUUCAGCAAAUAAUCAUGGGCCAAAUCAAGGAAAGCCACUUGCAAAUACUAAUACCACACGAGGAAUGCGGUCGAAUAAUUCACAAGGUGGGAAUCAUGCUCGGGUAUACAACUUAACUAAGAGCACAGCUGAAGAAUCCAACACCGUGGUUACAGGUAAUGUCUUAAUCUGCUCUUAUCCUGGUAAAGUUUUAUUUGAUUCUGGUGCCACACAUUCGUUUAUCUCCACCAACUUUGUGAGAAAAUACACCAUCCCUACUAGUCAGCUAAAAGAAAGAAUUUGCAUAGAAACUCCUUUGGAUAGCCAAACAACUAAUCUAAUUUGCAAAUUGUGUCCAAUUACUAUUGAUGGAUGGGAAUUAACUGCUGACCUCAUACCCUUGGACAUGCAUGAUUUUGAUAUUAUACUUGGUAUGGAUUGGUUAUGUAAGAACAAAGCACAUAUUGAUUGCCAUGGAAAACAGAUUACACUUAAACCAUGGGAUCAAAACCAAAUUAUUUACUAUGGAGAUCAAAACCAUUUACCUAGACCUUUAGUGGCAGAAAUCAUGAGAAAGGAAGCUAGUUGGGAAGGAAUACCAGUUGUGAAUGAAUUUCUAGAUGUUUUUCCAGCUGAAUUACCAGGGUUACCACCAGAUUGAGAGAUUGAAUUUGGUAUUGAAAUAGUACCAGGAACUUCUCCGAUUUAUAAGGCACCCUACAGAAUGGCCCCUGUUGAGCUAAAGGAACUAAAGUUACAACUAAAAGAAUUAGAAGAUAAAGGAUUCAUUCAUCCCAGUGUCUCCCCGUGGGGUGCUCCUGUUCUAUUUGUCAAGAAAAAGGAUGGAAGUUUGAGAUUAUGCACGGAUUACCGAGAACUGAAUAAGGUGACUAUCAAAAACAAAUAUCCUUUACCAAGGAUAGAUGAUUUAUUUGAUCAACUACAAGGAGCUCGUGUUUUCUCAAAAAUUGAUCUUCAAUCAGGCUACCAUCAACUAAAGAUUAAACCUAGUGAUAUACCCAAGACUGCUUUUCGUGCACGCUAUGGACACUAUGAAUAUCUAGUAAUGCCAUUUGGUUUGACUAAUGCACCGGCAGCUUUUAUGGACUUAAUGAAUCGUAUAUUCAAGCCUUAUCUUGAUCAAUUUGUAGUGGUAUUCAUAGAUGAUAUUUUGAUAUAUUCCAAGACUAAGGAAGAUCAUGCAAAUCAUUUGAGAAUAGUACUACAGACAUUGCGAGAUCAUAAACUAUUUGCCAAAUUAAAGAAAUGUGAUUUUUGGAUGGAUAAAGUAUCAUUCCUUGGUCAUGUUAUUUCGGGUGAAGGUAUAUCAGUGGAUCCUGAAAAGGUCAAAAACCAUCACGGAGUGGAAAAGGCCAUCAUCGGUAACCGAGAUACGAAGUUUUCU
rnacentral:lncRNA from 1 species